rnacentral:tRNA from 1 species
GUCAGAGUGGUGUAGUGGUUUGAGCAUUGGACUUUGACUCUGGAGAACAGGGUUCAAAUCCCCACUCAGCCA